rnacentral:rRNA from 1 species
AGAACGAACGCUGGCGGCAUGCCUAAUACAUGCAAGUCGAACGAACUCUUCGGAGUUAGUGGCGCACGGGUGCGUAACGCGUGGGAAUCUGCCCCUUGGUUCGGAAUAACAGUUGGAAACGACUGCUAAUACCGGAUGAUGACGAAAGUCCAAAGAUUUAUCGCCAAGGGAUGAGCCCGCGUAGGAUUAGCUAGUUGGUGAGGUAAAGGCUCACCAAGGCAACGAUCCUUAGCUGGUCUGAGAGGAUGAUCAGCCACACUGGGACUGAGACACGGCCCAGACUCCUACGGGAGGCAGCAGUAGGGAAUAUGACAAUGGGCGAAAGCCUGAUCCAGCAAUGCCGCGUGAGUGACUGGAAGCCUUAGGUUAGUAAAGCUACUUUUACCCGAGUAGUAGAUAAUGAACUAGUA